rnacentral:rRNA from 1 species
UACGGGAGGCAGCAGUGGGGAAUAUUGCACAAUGGGCGCAAGCCUGAUGCAGCCAUGCCGCGUGUAUGAAGAAGGCCUUCGGGUUGUAAAGUACUUUUCAGUCGUGAGGAAGGUGUUAAGGUUAAUAACCUUAGCAAUUGACGUUAGCGACAGAAGAAGCACCGGCUAACUCCGUGCCAGCAGCCGCGGUAAUACGGAGGGUGCGAGCGUUAAUCGGAAUUACUGGGCGUAAAGGGCACGCAGGCGGUUAAUUAAGUUGGAUGUGAAAUCCCCGGGCUUAACCUGGGAAUGGCAUUCAAGACUGGUUAGCUAGAGUCUUGUAGAGGGGGUAGAAUUCCAUGUGUAGCGGUGAAAUGCGUAGAGAUGUGGAGGAAUACCGGUGGCGAAGGCGGCCCCUGGGACAAAGGACUGACGCUCAUGUGCGAAAGCGUGGGGAGCAAACAGGGAUUAGAUACC